CUACGGGCUGCUCCAGUGAGGAAUAUUGCACAAUGGGGGGAACCCUGAUGCAGCAACGCCGCGUGGAGGAUGACGCAUUUCGGUGUGUAAACUCCUUUUAUAUGUCAAGAAAAUGACGGUAGCAUAUGAAUAAGCACCGGCUAACUCCGUGCCAGCAGCCGCGGUAAUACGGAGGGUGCAAGCGUUACUCGGAAUCACUGGGCGUAAAGGACGCGUAGGCGGGUUGGGAAGUCAGGUGUGAAAUCCUACAGCUUAACUGUAGAACUGCACUUGAAACUUCUAAUCUAGAGUAUGGGAGGGGGAGGUGGAAUUAGUGGUGUAGGGGUAAAAUCCGUAGAUAUCACUAGGAAUACCUAAAGCGAAGGCGAUCUCCUGGAACAUUACUGACGCUAAGGCGUGAAAGCGUGGGGAGCAAACAGGAUUAGAUACCCGUGUAGUC
rnacentral:rRNA from 1 species